UAACCCUAACGGGUUACCUAGCCAACUGACGUUGUUAGUGAACUUAGUAUUCACAAAUAUAAGCCAAUAGAUCCUUUUUCUAUUGGCUAUUUUUUU
rnacentral:sRNA from 1 species